rnacentral:snRNA from 1 species
GAAUGUGCAGUUGAUUUGGCUGAGACAUCUAUCACCACAUUGAUCCCCACAGGUGAUUUGAUGAUCAGAUUGGUGAAGCAGGUUGCCUCUCCCUCUUUACUGUCUUAUGUGUAUAAGCUCUCAAAGCUUCCAUUGUUGGAAGGGGAUGGACAACUCUGAUAGAGGGAGGGUCAUUGUCUGGUCACGGGUAGAGGAACAGAGGUAUAUAGUUAGGUGUUUAUUUCGCUUCUCCAACUUCUACACAAGCUCUCGAGUUCAAUUACCCAUGAUUGUUAUUUACUCUAGAUUCAAUCAUUCAU